CAACUUGAUUGAUUGAACGUUUCAUACAGCCUCUAGCCGAAGCCGUAGCAUAGGCCUAGGCCUAGCUAGCUAAGCUAGGCCAGACCAGUGGCUGCUAGGCCUAGGCCUACCUACUAGGCUAGUAGGACGGCGGUGCAGCAGCUGAUGAUGCAGAGUUCGAUAGAAAAAGAACAUGGUAGAGUAGUGGAAAGUACCUAAAUGAAGAUG